rnacentral:rRNA from 1 species
AACGAACGCUGGCUGCAGGCCUAACACAUGCAAGUCGAGCGAGGACUUCGGUCCUAGCGGCGGACGGGUGAGUAACGCUUGGGAACGUGCCCUUUGCUUCGGAAUAGCCCUGGGAAACUGUGAGUAAUACCGGAUGAGCCCUUUGGGGGAAAGAUUUAUCGGCGAAGGAUCGGCCCGCGUUGGAUUAGGUAGUUGGUGGGGUAAUGGCCUACCAAGCCGACGAUCCAUAGCUGGUUUGAGAGGAUGAUCAGCCACACUGGGACUGAGACACGGCCCAGACUCCUACGGGAGGCAGCAGUGGGGAAUCUUAGACAAUGGGGGAAACCCUGAUCUAGCCAUGCCGCGUGAGCGAUGAAGGCCUUAGGGUUGUAAAGCUCUUUCAGCUGGGAAGAUAAUGACGGUACCAGCAGAAGAAGCCCCGGCUAACUCCGUG